CAAUGAAAAAACAAAAAAGAAUCUAGGACCGAUACAGCAUCAAAUAGUAGUAGAAAUAGCGGUUUAAAGUGUAUAGAGAAACCCUUUAAUACUUUGCUCUGUGUGGUCCAAUUUUAUUGGCUAUCAUCAUCCUUGUAGAGAAUUAAAAUCACUUCUACCUCUGUCUAUUGCUCAAAAGGUCCAAGAGGAACAGAAUCUCGUAUAACGAUCUCUAUUCCUCUCUCUUUCAAGCUUGAAAUUGAAGAAAAAUCUAACAUGCAGCUUUAACUAGAGUUAUAGUUUUUAUAUCCAUCAUGACAAGGUGAAUAAUAAGUACUAUCUCGAGCCUGCUCCAUUAGGACAGAUGGUCUGGUAAGACACAACAACAAUUAGUGGUAUCAAAAAUUUAUUUUUCUUACAUGUACUUGGGCUUAUUCGGGGUAUUGAAUCAUUAUCCUGUUUCUGUUAACACGUGUACUAUCAUUAUUUUGAAGCACAUUAUGUGUACCAUUUUAUAUGCAAAACAACACUAUUUGGGUCUUUAUAUGCCCUGUUUCAGCUUCAUCAUUCAGUUAACAACAAAAAGGAAUGGAUCAGGUAAUACAGAAAAAGAAAAAGAAAAAUAGGUAUCAUAUUGUAUUUCGAAUAACUCAUCCGUUGAUCAGGUAUGCUCUUCCUCUUACAUUUUGGGUAAGAGCGAACAAUAGAGAGAUUCAGACUACAGAUGUAUAUUUUAAGGAGGGUCGCAGUGGUAGCUAUCCGAGCUACUUUAAACCUCCAACAUGGCGGCACGAAAGAUUUCUAUAUAUGCUUUCUUUCUUCAUGAUUUGUUUGCAGAGACUUAGAAUACAUCACUCUUUACUGCAGUGUAGUGGUUGAUUUUUGAAAUUUUAUAUGCUUAACGCAGUACUGUUGUUUACAAAGGUAAUUUGAAGCCUAAUCAGUUGAAGGAAUACUACUUGGCAAACUUGGGAAAUGAAAUGUUUACGAGCUACAUGACCCUGAUAAAUAUUUAAUCCAUCCGUACUUCAAUAACGAACAACAUUGAAUAACCAGUAAACUGAAGAGAUGCAAGGUUGAGCAAUGACUUCUGAGGCAUUGAAGUAUGAAUGAUCUCUUAAGUUCUUCCACUUCCUUGAUCAUAAUUUGAAUUUGGAUGCCCAUUUGGACUCUUUGGUGAGUUUGUAAGGAAACUCAUUAUGAAGUAAAUAAUGUUAACACAAACUUGGUGGUCUACUCUCUGCCAUCUGUUCUUAACAAUAAAACAUCCACUUAGAUCAGGAGGAGGAAGUUGUGCGUGAUCAAGGGUAGAGUAGGGCUCCAGGUGAUGUGUCCUAUCACUGCCACAAUCUUUAAAGUGUUCAGACGACAUAUUUCUGAAUUUUUAUUUUUGUUUUUCUAAAAGAAAUCAGUUUUACCAAAUAUAAUUUUUUUGGGUGUCUUUGGUAUAGGUGCAUUCUAGGUUCUCUAUAAAUACGUUUCCCAGUUGGGAUCGUGCACAACCUAUGCGUGUAUUGGGUCAUAAUGGUGAAAUUAACACACUUCAAGGCAAUGUGAACUGGGGUUUUCCCGUUUGGCUCAAAUUUGUUCCAGGUAUCACUUUCAGAGCAGAUAAUGGACCUUUCAAGGUUAAACAAUUUCUCACAUUUUCUUUGAAGACUAUGUCUUAGUUAUAAAUUCCUAUCGUUUCUGAUUUCUGGCAGUGUAAAUCCUCUAUUAGCGAUUGCCCCAUUACACAUCUGAACCUACUAUUAAAUCCUUUCCACUUUUGUUGCUUCUGUGGAGGUUUGUUCACUGAACCUCUACUUAUCUGUUUGAUAUUGAUAUUAAACACACAGUCUUCACAGUUAAUGUUGUGAAAAAAAAAAAAUUGGCUGCUAAAAAUAAGUGCUGAAUUGUUUUAGUAAACUAGUCUUUUGCUUCCAACAUAGGAUUAUAACUUCUUUUUUUCCUCUCCAACUUUGAAGGUUGUGCUGCAUUUUGUUCUUUUACAGAAAACCAGGUAGAUUUUCAUGCUUCAAACUUGACAUUCUUCUUCUUUUGUACAUUGACUUAUUGGACCACACAUUUCUGGAUCGAUGCUACUUUUCUAAUCCAUUGCCAAGAUUUUUUUUUAUUUUGCUUCUAAACAAUGGUAAAUUGAAUCAAAAGAUAAAUGUUGUUUGAUGGUAGAUCUGAUUUAUGUGGGAUCUUCAUUUCCUUUGUCUAAUUCCAGCUUACUGAACUGUGGACAGUUGAGUUUUAAUUAUUUUUGGUGAUGCUGGGGUGAUUUUAUUAUAUGUUCCCUUAAAAUCUUAAUCAGGCGAUGUAUUUGAGUUGAUAGCUACUUUACUGCUAUUUUGUUUCAGUUUCCUUUGACUAAAAAUAAUUUCUUUGUAGAAGUCAGUGCACAUCGGAUGACUUCCUCUUGCAUAUGUGUUAUUGUUACUGCCAAAACGGUUGACGGAUGAGAGUAAUUAUGUCGUUGUGGAGUCAGACUUCUCACUGCGUUCAAAAUAUGAAGGAAACACACUAAGAAGUCAAAUGAGUUUCCUUUCACCAGGCGUAGGGUUUUAAGAGAUCAACGAUGGACGAUGGAAUAAAUGCCGUCGUCUUGAUGGACUAUGUUGAAUUUCAGAUUUUUCCAAGCCACAACAGGUCACAUGUCUGCUACGGCAACAAGAUGGAAACAGCUGCCUCUGGCCUUCUGGAGCAGUUGAUAAUUCAUUCCCCCAAAAUCAUAUCUUUGCACUCAAAGGGAUCAGAUGUCGAUUUCAGAUUUAGACCUGUAAGGAAUCUUAGUGAUGCUAAAUGGUUUACAAAAUCCACAUUGAUCAGAGGAUGCUAUUCAAGCUGCCACAAGUUUUGCACAAAGAAAUAAGUUAUCGGUUCGCCUUGAAGAGCAGAUGCAGGCUCACUUGUGUGUUUGAGGUUCAGAAUAAAUUCGGAAGGUCUACAGCAGCAAGAAACGCUUGAAACACUAUCAAAAUCUAUUCGAUCUGGCAUUCCACAUUAUCUGUUCUUCUUUUUUCUGAUGGUCCAAGUGUCAGCUAUACUCAUUUUUACUUUAGGAUCAUUGAUCUUAUUGGCUUCAUCUGGUCACUUGGGUGUGGGAAGUCGAUGACAUUUUUGGCUAGCAACUCUUCAAGAGCUGCAGAGAUAGGGAUACUAUUCAAUCUUCCACAAGUUUUGCACAAAGGAAUAAGUUGUUGGUUUGCCUUGAAGAAUAGAUGCAAACUCACUUGUGUUUGAGGUUCAGAACAGAUUUGAAAGAGGGAUACUAUUCAAGCUGCCAUAAGUUUUGCACAAAGGUAUAGGUUGUCGGUUCUCCUUGAAGAACAGAUGCUAGCUCACUUGUGUUUGAGGGUCAAAACAGAUUCCGAAGGUCUGCAGCAGCAAGAAAUUCGCGGAGUGGCUGUUCUAUCUGCCUAAGAAGACAACAAGUCUCCAGCAAUUGCCAGUGUCUUUCAUCAAUGUUUUUUGUGCCAAGACGCUGAAGGGUUAACUGCCUUGACAGAUGAUGAAUGGUUUGAUGAAAGUUGCAAAGUCUGUAAAUGUGACACGUUAUUUUGAGUUUAUUUUAAAGAAAUGGUGUGAGGAAUUUUUUUUUCCUUGAGUUGCAGCUGGACCAGGUCACUCAGUUGGACACGUCUACUGAUGGAAAUGACUUUAGUUUGGAGGAAUCAUCUGGAAAUGGAAUUCUCUAUGAAGAAAUUAAGAAGUUGGAAGAAUUUAGAACAUGAGGGGUUAAGCUGUCUACAGUUAUUUUGAGGAGAUUCCAUGUUUGCUGCAGAGACUAUUUAAAGAACAAGAAGCAAUGACAGGAAAAAGGUGAAGAAGGGUGGAUGGUAUCCCAGUUUUUGGUUAAGAGCACUAGAUUAUCUGCAGGGAAAGAUGUCAGUACCUGAAGAAGGUUCGAAUAGAAUGGAUCUUGUUGGGGUCAGGAGGAGUUUGACCCCCUGGGCAGGACAAGUUAAUUUUUUAUGGUAUUUUGAUGACCAAUGCUUAGUUUUCCAACGACCGAAUUGAGAAUCUUAGCAAUGAUUUGAUGGUUUUAUUCGAGGUGUUCAGGAAAGGAUGAGUCUAUUGUAGCAGCUUCACCUGUUGAUGAGCUGAUUGAAGAGAAUCCUUUUCAUUCUUUCUCCAUCACCAAAUGACUAUGCAAAGCAUCCAAGAAUAACCAAAUUGUAAAUUAAUAUGUUGGGUCCGUGCUCAACAUGGGCCUUGUCCAUCUAGUAUAAUAUAGGGCAAAAUUCAGAAAUAAGAUCUCUUUAAUUAUGAGAUUCAUAAUUACAUAAUAUAUCAAGUUGUAUUUUAUAUUUCUGCAAAUUGUUGUUACAAAAAUAUAAAUGCAUAUGAUUUUUA